GAGUUUGAUCGUGCUCAGAUUGAACGCUAGCGGGAUGCCUUACACAUGCAAGUCGAACGGCAGCACGGACUUCGGUCUGGUGGCGAGUGGCGAACGGGUGAGUAAUGUAUCGGAACGUGCCUAGUAGCGGGGGGAUAACUACGCGAAAGCGUAGCUAAUACCGCAUACGCCCUACGGGGAAAGCAGGGGAUCGCAAGACCUUGCACUAUUAGAGCGGCCGAUAUCGGAUUAGCUAGUUGGUGGGGUAACGGCUCACCAAGGCGACGAUCCGUAGCUGGUUUGAGAGGACGACCAGCCACACUGGAACUGAGACACGGCCCAGACUCCUACGGGAGGCAGCAGUGGGGAAUUUUGGACAAUGGGGAAACCCUGAUCCAGCCAUCCCGCGUGUGCGAUGAAGGCC
rnacentral:rRNA from 1 species